GUAUACAGGUACGGGUAACCAUAUUUUGUUCAUUGGAAUUUUUUGUUGUUUGCACGUUUCUUGAUACAAUUCAUGCUCGCCACAAGAGGCUAAAGUCUACUUGAAAAUAAUUGUCGAGGUAAUCUUCGAAAAAGUUGAAUUGAGAAACACUGAUGGAAAUUCAUUGAACAAAAUAAGGUUACGCGUAUACCGGAACCAGGGUAUCUUAACCUCUGUAAUAUUUCAAUCAUUGUUGCUAGCGUCUUGAAAGUACACUGUACAAUCUCACCGAAAAAUAUAAUUUUUCUGGCAUAUUGAGUGUUGAUUUGAUUAACUUGAAUGGUCAGUUAAGUGAGCUCGUGCAGUCAAUCCUGUCUAAAAAAUGGUCAGAUCACAAAUCUGAGAGGCAAAGGCUUGGCAAAUGGGCUUGGAUUUGGAGGGGGUUCCAGCACUGCAAUUCCAUAAAAUGGCUCUACAAGGGACUUUUCUUAAUGAGGAUUACCUGAAUGCAGAAUACUGUACCCCUGAAUUUAAGAAUUUUUCUCUAAUCGCGCCAGUCAUGGUCAAACAAUAAUUGGCGCAUAUGUUACCACUCGGAGAAAAGCACCAAUGAUUUCACCAAACAAGUGACGCCAUGUCCACAGGAUCCAAGCCCAAGGAAAAAUAUGCUUAAUAUAUAGAGAUUACUUCAUCGUUGGCGAGUGCGUACGAUUUUUAUGCACGAGUUGUGAAGGAUCGUGCAUGGAGUGUAAUGAACAUACAGGGUGUCCCAAAAAAAUG